UCCUAUUCUAGUUUGGGGCUAUUUUAUGUGAAAUCUUGGUUGGAUAAUUCUUAACAUUUUUUUGGAGAGUAUAUUUUAUUUGUCUUAAAAUAAUAACUUUGGCACUUGUCUUCGAGUAUUUAAGGAAUUUUUUUUUACUUUUCCAUCAUGAAAAAAGGAAGCGAAAGCUAUCGUAUACAACAAGUUUACAAAUUUACAAAGCUUGAUGUUGUUUCUACUAUGUGUUUUCUCCAUGCUUUGGUGAGUUUGAAUAGUAUAACAUACUUGCGUUCGAGAGCUAGUUUUCAGCAAGAUGAUGAAGAAACUAAGGUCCUUAUUGUUGCAAGAUUGUUUCCAUUAGGUCGAGCCCUCAUGUAUAGUGUGGCUCUCCCAUGUAUUUCAUGAGGAUUAUCA
rnacentral:lncRNA from 1 species